GCGUGUGUUUGGUUCUGCGGCGGAGAGAAUUGAUUUUGGCAGAAUUGAUUCUGUAAAAUUGAUUCUGGCCAAAAUUGAUUUUAAGCUGAAGUGGUUUAUGUUUGGAUAUAUUCAUGAAAUAGUGAGUUGAACAAAAAAUUUGAGUGUAAAAAUCAAUUCUAGAAUCAGAAGCUACGAUUUCUAGCUUCAAGUAGAAUCAAUUCUGGAGGCAGAAUCAAUUCUACUUUUGAGAAACCAAACAAGUCAGAAUCAAUUCUACACGUCCAG
rnacentral:lncRNA from 1 species